CAGGUUUUUAGCUAUAUAUAUAUAUAGCUAAAAACCUGUAAUCAUUUAAAUAUAUCUCUGAGAACUACAGUUCAAUUUUUUUUCCCUUGCCAUCACGAAUGUGUUACGAGCCAAGGAAUAUGAACUUAAAAAAAAAAAAUGUUCUUGAUAUAAGUUAACAUUCACGCUUCAUACAUGUUAUUGCUUCCUGUGGCUUGAAAUUGGACCUCUACAAAUUUUGACUUAAGGUUGAUUAGUUUUUCUAAGCUAUUGCCUUAGAUGUACUUAAUACAACAGCUCAGGUUAUCCAAUAUCUAAUUAAACACAGGUGCAGCUCGAAUUUGUUAUGGGAAGUGAAGGGAAAAUAUUUUUAGCGCUUUUCAAGGAAAGCAGUGCUUAGCAGGGAGGUACAAAUGAAGAAGGUCCCAAAGUCAAAGCAAAAGAGGGUUGAACCCAUUGCAGUCACUUGGAACUAUACUAACAUUGUUAAAAGAGACACCUCAUUUAACACUGUUAAAAGGGACAACCUUGAUUGAUCUAGGUGUCAUCAUCCACCUGUCCACAUUUUCCCAAAUACUAAACUUUGCCUAGGUCAGUUAAACUUAAAGACUUUCCCACAGAUUGUAGCAUAUUUUUAUAAGCUGGUGUUGUUGGUAUUUAAUUGCAGUGAGCGUUUCCGUGUGAAUAGCCUUGUGUAUAACCUGGGAACUAAUCUCUAAUCUCUACCUGGAAAAAAGAAAAGAAAAACUAGCUGAUGGUCUUCAGGUAGUUUACAGAGAUAAGAGUUUCCCCUGAGCAGAAUAUGUUUUUGGUAUAAAAUUACUAUCUAUUGUACAAAAUAACCAAAUCUUCCACCUUCUUCUGACUGCACUUUGAUAUCAAGGACUUGCUCUGUUUUUGUAUAUAUAACAGGAUAAGACAGGCAUGUUCCCUUAGUUUCACUUGACUAGGCAGCUAUUCUGAAUAAGCAGAGCUUUGGUGACUUGAAAUGACUCCAUUCCCAAGAGACAGGCAUUUUCAAUUCUUGUCCCAAAGGUGCUACCCGCAAAGAACUGGGACUUUACUUCAUAAAACUACUGCCCAACUGAGUAGGUCACAGGUUUAAAAUUGUUUCACAGGCUCCUAACUCAAUAUUUAUAUCAUAAUUCCACUGCUGGGCCUUCCUUUGCUCUUUCAACACUUGUCUUAUAUUUUAGAAAGUCAGCUGGCAAAAACGUACAAGGGGCCACAACUGACUAAUCCAAGAUAAGCAUUGCUAAGUGCCACAUUCAAAAGAGCAGGAUGCAGCCCACAGCUUAGUACCAUGCAGUAUACCUCUUUGUAGUCCCUAGGAUAUGAGCUAAUAAGGAUGGACUCCAGUUUGGCCUUGUGUAAAUAUAAAGGCCUGUACAUAAGGAGGCCCUCUUUGCCUCACACCUGUACAGAUCCUGCAGAGAUGGAUCAUAUUGGGGUCUUGCUUACUCUGGGGAGCAAUUGCCAAGGAAAGGAUGACACCAUACUGAACAGUACUUACAGAAAAUGGAGUUCAAGUCUCAUGGAGCAGGCCCUACUGACAGCUGGGGAAACCAAAGUGUUAUAUCCAUCAGUUGCGUCCAGCAGUAGUCCAAGCUUCCCCACCCUGCCAUACAAAUAAGUUUCUACCUUUCCUUAGGGGAACUGCUGAUAGGCUAUGACAGGGAGGGCCAAAAUUUAAACUCAUUCAGUCCUUAACCUCAUACAGUGGUGCAUGGUAACAUGCAAGUUAGCUCUGAAUGACCUAACCUAGCUACUGGAGCCACAAUAGAUAGCUGCAUUAGCAUGCUGCUUUGCCCAAGCUACAAUAGACUUGAUGGAGUGCUAUAUUUGAUGGAAUGCUUGAUGGAUAGACUCGAUAGACUUGAUGGAAUGCUUAUAAUGCUUCCAGUAUUCAAGUCAGCUUGUUCCCAGCCAGCCUGAGGAUCAGCACCCGGCACUGCAUUUUGCUAUGCAGACAUGCCAUCAGCCUGCCAAGUGUAGUCAUAGCUUCUGUGAUACAGACACAUAUUUGAAAGGAACUUGACUCAGGUGACCAGUUCGGUUCAUGUCACACAGGCUACUAGAUGUCACUCAGGUGCCAAUAAAUGUAUGUUAUGGAGAACUGGGGUGGAUACAGACAAACAAUGUAGAUUUGAAAGGCUCUGUACUCCCAUAUCUGAGCUGUUCCAUUCUACUUAUGUAAUAUUUUGAAAACAUGACAGCAGAAUGCACAUGCUCCUUGUCCCUCUACAGGCUUCCUGCUAAAAAGACACCCAGCUUACAGACAUGCUUAAGGAUAGAUUCACUGUGCUUGAAUCACUCCCUUAAAAAUGCAGAUACAAUCCAAUACAGAGCAUGCUGCCUGUGCAACUGAAAAUUAGGGAAGGGAAAGGAAACUAAGUAAGGUAAGCCAUGUUGGACAAGUCUAUAUGACAUCUAAACUUAGACUGUGAACUCCGUGGGGCACUCUGGUACUGUAAAUCACCCAGCAUAAUAUGGUUACUGUAACAGGAAACCCUGGCACUAAAUAUUAUUUAACUUUUCUAUCUUUUUCUCUAUACUGCCUACCCCUAAAAGUCCGCUGAAUGUAAAAACGAAUGUAUGAUGAAUGGCAUACAUUCAUUUCUAUAGGAGAAAGUUGCUUCUAAAAGCAAUGUGAAGAGGAUCCAAGCUUCAUGGUCUAACUGCUCUACAAUGUUUACCAAGACAUGGUACAGAAACAGUUGUUGGUGAAACAAGAUUAUUUGUUUCAGAUGUUUUCCUUUUGUUUUUUUUUGUUGUGCAUUUCUUUUUCUCCAGGAAGCCUCAUAGAUGUGACGGGAUGAUUUAAUUCUGUACAAACCUCACCUCCCUGAAUUCUUAGAAUGUAGAUGUAUACCACUACCGGUAUUCUUAGAGUCAGGGUGCUGCAGCCUCGCUGAAUAAAUAUAGUACAAUGGAACCCACAUUUUUAUUGGAAUCCCUGCUAGCUAUUUACAUACUUUUCUUAGAGAGAGACAGGAAACCAAAUGUAACAGACAGAGAUCUAAAGCUAUCUUUGCACUGGCUAGAGCCCUCAUAGAUAAAUAAUAUACCUUGGAACUCACUUACACUGAGAUGCAGUGAAAGCCCCAAACUGCUUUGAUGUUAAAAGACUGGGGGCUUUAUAAUUAACUUCAUUCCAUUCCAAUCUGGUUCGAUUCUGCUAAUCCCUUUAAGGAUAACCAGCACCAAGGUGUUAAACACUGGCACUAAGAAUGGAUUGUCAUAUGGAAAUUGCAGCUAUCCUUGUAGCAUGAAGGGAAAGAAGGAAUCCCUAGUCUCAGUUCUCAUAGCAUGGAUAGAAGAGGAGCUAAUAUCAGUAUAUCAGUAGCUAUUUCCAACCAAAAGUGAAAGUAGUGAUUCCCAGAACAUCUCUUCUCGCUGUCAUUGCCUCAGUGCAACUACAGGAAGUGAACAGAAGACUGGUCCAAGGAUGACCCACUGACAGGUGGACACCUCUCAUGAUACAGUGAAAACUCCCCUGGUGACAGAAUAACGUGUGUGUGAAAAAACAGACAAUAACUUUGCUAUGAAAGGGUUUAACUGGAAAACCUAACAGGCAACAGCAUGAAUUCACAGAACACAAUAAAAACGACAUCCCUAAGGGAGAGCAUACUGUUCACUCCUUUCUGUAUUACCUGAAUGUAUACAAAGCAUUAUGAAAGUGCGCAACUCUCCCUAUGAAUGACGUAAGGAGCUGGGUGAGUACCCUGGGGUUUUGAAUUCUUUGGACUGCAGAGCACCUAUGAGUUAGGUGCUGCAGCACCAAUGCUGGGGCAAUUCAGGGCUAGAUUCAUAAAAAUAUUUAGGUGUUGCAAUACUUAACUUUGAGGUGCUUUGCCACCUGGAGAACGUAAGAUCACUAUAUAAUGCAUGGGAAGAAUGAGAGGCCAUGGAAUGGGAUCUAAAAAAGCCACUAUUCUUAACAUGGAUCUACUCCACUGAAUAAUGCUAAAUAUAAAAUAUUGACGUAUUCAAUUGACCAUGGAAUGGAACCUGGGAUUUUCCCACCUCUGGUACAUGUCCUAGUUAUAAAACUAUAGUUAUGCUCACUCUAUUUGAAGGGGACUUUAUGUGGUAGGUCUCUGCAAAUAGUUGCAUUUCACCCAGCAUGAAUGGAAGGCCUUCAGCAUCUCCAAGCUUUGGGCCCUCAAUGCCAUUUGUAAGCUUCACUGCUUUGUAGAGAAUUAUGGCAAGUCCUGUGCACCCUUAAAACUAACUUAAAAGGAGAGCAUGGGUUUUACUUUCUUUCAUUCUGCCUUUAAAUUCUUUUAUUAAUGCAAAAGCAGUCACCAGCUAUACCAACUGGACAUAAAAAAUAACCAUCUCAAAAGAAUAUUGUCAGAUUCUCUUCUACCUAUUGAGUGUCUAAAUAGACUUAGGCACCCGAGUGUGAUUCUAUUCCACUCCGUUCAAGUCCUGAACAUUCAUCAGUGCACCUACUUUUGUAAGACACCUUCAUCUAACCCUUAAAACUGAAUCAUAAAAAGUAGAGAGGAGGAUAUGCUUACCUUUUGCAUUAACUAUUUUUUCAGGGACAUGAGCAGGGUGGAAUGAACAUUUAGGCAUCCAGUUCACUUAUGUACCUAACAAUUAAUUGGAUUAGAAGCUGGCCCUCAGUUUGCCAAAAUCAAACACUCAAAAAUUAAGAGAAGGCAAAAUUAAGGUAGUCUUACUGAAAGAUAAUCUUACUGGAAGAAGUAGGUAAUUUACAUAAUGGACAGAUGUUCCAUCCUGUUUGAGAAGGGCUGCAUUUCUGCUGAAGUCACUUUGCUCUCCUUAAAAAAUGCCUAUAUAUAACAAAUGAAGAAUUUUCUCAAUGUAAGGAAGGAAGGAGUGAGAGUAGCCUUGGUGUACCCUGUACCAGUGGUGAAAGUCAAGGCUGCUCCUGUGCAGCUUACAUAGCUCUGAACCAGUAAGUUACAGCCAGCCCUGUAGACCCUCCAUCUAUCCCUCACACUGAUGCUUUGCUUGAUUCAACAACUCAUUAUUUAAGUUUUACAUGAGCAUAAUGCUACAGGAUGGAAAAUAAACAAACCACUAUGGAUAUUGUAAAAGAAAGAAACACAUACUGACAAUCAAGUGUAAGAAUAGCUUUUAAUGGAGUCGCACCUGCAUAAAACUAGAGUGAUAUAGUUGUGAUAGGAAUUUUUUUUUGGCUUUUACUAAAUGCUUAUAGCAGGAAGCAUUUUUUUAAAUUAAAAUAUAGAUUUCAAAUUAUAUGAUUUAUAAUUGGUAUUUAUUUGUAUUUCUGCAUUGUUGAUGUAGUUACAAAAGAACAAUACCAGUAGCUUGUGCUAUAAACUCCUCAGCUGCUAUGAUCACCCAUGGUAGAUUGUGCUAUAGACUACUCAGCUAUUGUGAACACCCAUGCUUACAAACCAAAAUAGUCUGGAAAGUUAAGCUUUUUGCACUUAAAUCAUAUGACGUGAUAGGGCAUAUACUCAUUAUUUCAUUACUCUAACCAGUUGUUUAAAAAAAUUACAAGACCAAAUGAUUUGCAAAUAAAAUACAUCACCUUGACUCAAAAAAUGGUACAUCUUGAACAUGAAUAGAAGGAAUUUGUAUUUUGUUUCGCUUUAAAAUUUCAUUUUUCUGUAGUUUCAGUCACUCUGUUUACCUUAGGGUAUGAUUUCUGAGAAAAAUAUAGCAUACAAAUAAUGGUGGAAAUAAAAAUCCUGUAUACUUUCACUGCUUAAAAGAGAAGUUGCACCAUGCGCACUUUAUUAGAAGAGAACAUCAAAUGACCCACAUACUGAAAGCAGGACAAAUGAACAGCUGACUCUACAGUUAGGGGGAAUAUAAUUUUUGUUUUUAACUAAAAAUAGUCUGUAUUCACUUUUCCAAGUGGAAAGUGCGUCUGGGGACCUUAUUUACAGACUUAGAAGUACAGGCUAAUCCCUUACCCUUGUAGCCAGUUUCAGCCACUUUCAGAUUUUUUUUGGCAAAAACUCAAAUACAGCGCUGGUGUCAUGCUUAAUACUGUUUUAGUCAAUAUGAUUUCUGUUUGAGUCACCUGCAGUGUGAAUGCAGCAAUUGUUUAGCUUUAUUACCCCAAACAGUUAUUUUAAACAGUAUCCUUACAGUUAACAAGAUGAGAGAAAAGGCCUCAGCUGAGAUAUGUACCAGGAAGAGAACAUUUUCUUAGAAAAGCACAGUUCUCAGUAAAUGAUAAACCACAGAACUGCUACAUUGACUGAUGUUCACAUUCAACCACAAAACUAUGUUCAUAUAUUGAAAGGGUCUUGCUCCCCCUCUAAAAAUAAGGAUUUUGAGAGGUAAGUAUGGGGCUUCAGUCUCUUAACACUAUCUCUUGACACAUUAGGCCUCAUUAGGCCUCGGUGUUAUUGCCAUGAUCAUGUAAAAUACAAAUCCUUUUUCCAUGUGCCCUGUUCCUGUGCCCUUUUUCCAUGGGUCUAUUUAAUUGAAAGCAUGUAUAAUGUCUCCUCCAUUUAUUGACUUUUUGAGUCAGUAGUGCUCAAAAGAACUAUAAUCAUAGAACCUCCGAGCAAAGCAUCCACGUUCAGAAAAGCACUUCAGCACAGUCAAAAAAUGAUUUAAGUCACUCUGAUGUCAUGAGGUGCCAGUAAAUUCUGUGAAUUUUCAAAAGCUUCUUUGUAACUAAUUGGCCCAAAUCCUAGCUGGACAGGUGGACUGACUGCUUCUUUCUUUUUUAGCUCUAGGCUGAUGGCAUAAACUCAGGUUUUCCAUGCCACUCGUCUCAAUGCAAAAUCAGACGAACUUGAACCCACGUAAUCUGGAUUUUAGCUAGCUCACAUAUGGAGAUAAUUCCAUUGAUCUUGACUUGGUGGUCACUAUAGCAAAGAAAGAAUCAAAACUCGGAGAUUUCUUCCUGUCCUUAACAGAAUGAGUUAAGCCUAACUUGGAACAGAGCUUUUCUGGGCUGACAGUCUCUGAACGGUUCUGUAUUAAUGGACUGGAUAGAUCCAACCACUUGACUAAAUCCAGUCUUCUCUACUGUUGACAAGAGAACAACGGAUAAUGAGUAACCUGCUAUGCUUUCCAUUAGGCCUAACUCAAAUGCAGUGCUAACUUCCAUAACAGGAAAUUGCACAGCUAAGGCUCCUCAGAUGAGAAUGGCCUGGCUCAAGCCUCUAAGAGAUUCAUUUGUGGUCCCUGUCAGCAAUAAUGUCUCUGUUGAUUAAAGCAUUUUAAAUAGGAACACCAGGAUACUCUGUGCUGAGUCCGCCAUGUCAUAUUUCAUGGUGGACUUAGCACAGAAUGCAGGACAUCCGUGUUCUAUGCCCUCAUUGAUUGGCCACUCUUAGAAGCCACAAUGAAAGCUGUAAUGGAAGAAACUUCUGAGAGGCCUUCACAGCCAACCCAAGGCUGUAGAAAUUGGGCACAGACAGAUCCACAUCAGACAGAGAACAGGUCUACCUGAAGAAGGCAGACAGGGAUUCCUGGUCUCCUAAAUCCUCUGUGGAUUUAGUCAUGAGUUAGGCAGAAUUGUGAGGCUGCUCAUAACUAAGACAAUGGAAAGGCAGAUACCUUCACUGUCAUUGACUAAAUCAGUUUUUCAAAGAUAAGUUUCUACUGUUAGGGAACAUUUGCAUUAAAUAAGCAACUGCUGCCAGUAUAAUUUCCAAAAAGGCAACCUAGGGUACAGGAGUUUUGGAAUCUGCAAAAGAGCAGCUGGCAUGCUGUUAGAAGAACUCAUUAGCAACAACUCAAAGACAUGGUAGAAACUGACACAGAGCCAACACCAAACAGAACAGAAUUUGAACUGCAGGGUAGACAGGAAACUGACUACAUAAAAAUUAGACUUUCAAACUCCACUUACCCGUCUCUGUGUCUGCCUCUGUCAUUGACAACAACAAAUAUUGUAUUUCCUAUUUCUUAUACCUACAGAAUGGUAGGUCAGAUUCUACAGCUUCACAUAUAAUCUACAAUAUUGACAGCUAAAAUUUAAGAAUAAAGGGAAAAACCCUGAUUCCACUUACGUGGCCCAGGACAAGAACCCUUCUGAGUUUAGUGGAGCCACACUUUUCUCUAAAAUCCUGAGAGCUCCUGCUGCUGCUGCUGAUUAUGAAGAGCGAGGCAGAGAGGAAGCAAUAUUAUCAUUAUUCGGAUUCCAGGGCUGGUAGCAAGCAAAACUGUUCUUUGCCUAAGGAAACCAUCAAAUGGAUAUGGAACAGAAACUACAGUGAUAUUUUUUCUCCGUUUGUAACUUCCAGGGGGGUGCACUGCAUGUGCAGUGAGCUCUCUGAGCUCACCACCAUGUCAGAACAGCUCCUGCCAGAGUUUCACAUGGCUUGAGAGCUCUGAGCUCACCAGCUGGUCACCACAGGCUCUAGACAGAGGCCCUGCUUUCACACAGCUCCAGAGCCCAGAGAGGCACUGCUGUUUACUCUCCCUUCUACCCAUGCCCUCCCCACUGACAUUCACCCCCUAGGCUCCGGAGUCAGGUGAAAGCAGGGGCGGAGCACUGCUGCCACUGCUCUUUACUGAAUUCUGCAGUAGGCCAAAAGAAGAGUGGGGAACAAGAGGAAGGGAUGGCAAACAAUGGUGAUGUUCACCUUGGCUCCAAACCUGUGUGAAAGCAGGGGCUCAAGGCAGAGCAUGCACCAGUCAGCUGGUGAGCUCAGUGCUCAUGGCACAUGCGGAGCUGCGACAGGAACUGUGCUGAUAGGCUGGUGAACUCUCUAACAUCCAGGAUCGCACUGAGUGGCAUGUGGUCACACAGUGAGUUGAGCUUUGCAUGCGCCACACCCCACCCUCACUCCCUGGGAUCCUGGGACCACCCACAGUGACUUCCAUGUCAAGUAUGCUCAGAUUUUUUCUUUCUCCCAUCAGCUUUGCUAAAACAGUCUGGCAUCUGAGAUCAUACCUAAACCAGGACAAACAACUCUGAACUGAAAAAAGAUGGAAUAAGAAAUCAAGGAGGAUGACCAAGAUUAAACGAGACAAAGAGAAAUUGUACAAAAUGACUGUGGAUAGGAAAGGCAUAAUAAUUCCAGGAUCUAGUCACAACUUGUCACUUGGUGAGAAGAAAGUAAUGCUCGUAUCAUAUACUUAUUGAGAGAAAGAAGCAGCAAAGGGAUACUUUCAAGAAAGCUCUGCUGUGCUUGAAGUACAAAUACUGCAUAAACAAGACUCACACAAUCUAAAGUAUACUUUGUUUGGUAAUACAUAACUGGUUUCCCUCUAUGCAGUGACUUCUGUACACAUUUUGAAUAAGAAGAAAACAGUACUAGAAGACAGUGAAGGAAGAGAAAAAGCCACCCACUUAACUACAGCAAUUUUAGAGGCAUCAUCAAAUGCUCAAAUAGAUUUAACCUUAUAUCCUAAUCAUAACAUAUUUAACUAUCCUGUUGGGUGUUCAGAGAAAAUUACUUCUUCUUGAAACUUGCAGCAAUUGAAAAUCCCUCAUUUGGAUUUUUUUAACUCCACUUUGCACUGAGAAUACAUGGUUUCAAAAGUGUUCAUGAAGGGAUUUUUUUUCCCCCUUCUCUGGCUUGAACAGUGAAUGGCAGAGCUCCGAGUCUGAAUAAACAGUGUGGGUGGUGACUGUUCUGUGAGGCCCAUGUAAAGGAUGCAAUCAUUUUCUUAUGCUGUUCAGCAUUAAAUCAUGUGAAACUAGCUUGAUUGCCACACAUAACAUUCACUUUGUAGCAGAAUGUAACAUGCCAUGUAUUCUUUCCUAACUUUGGAGGGAAAAAAUAAUAAUUAAUUCUCCUAGCUUCAAGUGUUUAAUUGUGUAUAAAGUUCAUUGACCUCGCUAGUUGCUGUCAGAUGAUCUUGCUAAGGCCUGUGAAAAACAUCCCAGGAAUGCAGUGAUGUGGGCAGAAACAAAGUGAGUUCAUGCCACAAAAUGCUUUAAAUGGAACAAAAUCAGCAGCCAUCCAGAGAGACUGCACUGAAAACAGAACUUCAGAAUAAUCAUGGGUUUAACCUCACCUAAGCACGGGUAGUCCUUCAAAAGUGAUUAUUAUAAAUCAUAUACUUUAAAAAAAUCCUUUCAGGAUCUGGCAUGUGACUACAUGAAGUAACUCUGUUUACUGGUAAUCCCCUAACUGACUGGAAAUGAAUGCACUGGAGAGGCUGGGAUGUCUAGAUACAAGACAUGGAAUGAGGCGAUCUGCUUGUUUCCAGGUUCCGUAACCUGUCCAAGUAAGAUUAAAUGUGACCUUAGGUAGGGCACUAAGCCAUUGUGUGAAACAGUUUCCUUUCCAGUAAAGUAAUGAUGGUUAUCUCCAUUUAUACAGAGCUUUGAGAUCUACAGAUGAAAAGUAUUGUUGAUAAUAAUGAUCACGUAUUUGCCUAUAUGUAAUUUUUAUCCCUGUCAUUACAAUCCAGGCUGGAGGACAGCUGCUCAUUUCAUAUGCUAUAAUUAACUAGGUAGAAUCAAGAUGAAUCUGUUCUAAGGUCAACAUUAAAAUAUCAGCUGCCCUCUCACACAGUUCAAAAUGCACAUUUCUAAUUCAAGGGGACAUGGCAGCCUAAUUUUAUUAAGAAACAUCACAUAAACUACUGCAGAUACCGCUUAUACUAAGCCUUAAAUAUUAAUAUAGGUUGAAAGUAUAUGCAGCAAUCUAUAUUAGGAGCUAUGUUCUUUAGGAUGAGGGUAUCUUAAUACAGCUCUUAGCACAACUGGCCCCAUAUCCUAACCGGGCUUAUAAGCAAUACAAUAAUAUAAAUAUUAAUUAAUAGAAAAGCCUGAAAACAAUGCUGUCCAGCAUGGCUGGGUCUUCAACCAGCUGAUGCAGGUCUGUGUAUUAAGGGACAUGAUCCUAAAAGUCCCUGUGGUGAAUAAGCUGCAGUUUACUUCAGUUCAAUUUCUCUUUUCCUAUAUGCCCCCUAUGGAGUCUGACAAUGUGACUGGCAAAGCAUGUGUUGCAACUCGGCAUGCCUCAUGUUGGUGUACUUUUUCACAGUCAUUGAAUCCCCCAGGGUGAUUUAUAUGAGAAGGGAACAUAUGGCUUAUAGGCAAUAACAAGGUAGUACAGAAGCCAGUUUGAAAUUAUGACCUACAAAAAUGGCCUGCAUUAUUUUGUAGUAUACCUUCUGCUUUGUUACCCCUUUUUCUCAAUCCGUCACAAACAGUUUCAUCUAAAUCCCUUCUGAUAUACUUCUAACACUCUUUUCUCUAUGUCUUAAGAUGACUACCUCUAGUAUGCUCUGAAAUAAGUAACUCUAGUCAGACUAGGUUUUUUUAGUCAAUUGGUUCAUUCUGGUGACCAUGGUAAACAUAACAGGCUUGGAUUAUAACUCCUACCAUCUGGAAUUAAAUCUUCUUCACAGACAGAUAAAACCAGAUCAUAGCCAUAUUAAAUUCUGGAUUGUGAUUAUGAUCUCUCUUGGUAUUAAGGGAUAAAGCCAUACCCCAAAAGAAUAUCAGCUUAAGGCAACCUAUACUAUUAAAUGUAUUGGAAAAGAUGUACAGUAUGUUGUCAUUUGCUGUGUAUUAUAUCCCCUCAUUGUGGAAUACAAUAAUGCCCUUAAUCUUUUGUGGAAAUACUUCAGUGGAGCUCUUUACUCAAAAAUAAGUGCAUUAUUUAAAA